CCGCCCUGUUGCCCUGUCCCGGAGCGCAGACCUAGCGGGCCCGCGGCCCGCACUCCAGGCGGGGGGGGAUCCCGCGCUGAGGAGGUUGUAAGCUCCGAGAGGGAAAAUUUAGCCCUGGUUUUUGCUCCUCAUUGUAGCCCAGAGUCUCGUAGACUCUCAAUGGUGUUUGUUGAAUGAAAAAUUAUAUUUAAACUUAGAGAUGGGGAUGUGAUAAAAGUCCCUCAAGUCACCGCUUGGUCCUGCCACUGAGGAGAGCUCUCCAGUUUUCUAUUUCGCCUCUCCAGGUCUUGGGCAUCAGGAUUUUCAAAAGUCUUGUGGAUUGUAUUUAAGGAUGAUUGCACUGCAUGAAAUCCUUCGGUGGCUUCCUGUGUUCUUUAGGAUAAAAUUCAAAUAGUUUAUUAAGCACUACAAAGUCCUUUUGAUCUGCCCACCCCCACCGUCUACUGUCUACCUUUCCAAACUUGCCCUGUGCUGCUCUCCCCCGGGCAGCCUUCCUGCUGCCAGAACAACUUGAUGCAAAUCUCUGAAUAAAUCACAC